GCUCUCGUAGCUCAGUUGGUUAGAGCACCCGUUUAGUAAGUGGGAGGUCUUGAGUGCGACUCUCAACGAGGGCA
rnacentral:tRNA from 1 species